rnacentral:rRNA from 1 species
UUUCCCUCAGGAUAGCUGGCACUCGCUCUGAAAUAGAACGCGAGUCUCAUCUGGUCAAGCGAAUGAUUAGAAGCAUUGGGGCCGAAACGACCUCAACUUAUUCUCAAACUUUAAAUGGGUGAGAUCUCUGGCUUGCUUGAACGAUGAAGCCAUGAGAUUAUCAGGAUCAGAGUGCCAAGUGGGCCAAUUUUGGUAAGCAGAACUGGCGCUGUGGGA